rnacentral:rRNA from 1 species
UACGGAGGGUGCAAGCGUUAUCCGGAUUCACUGGGCUUAAAGGGUGCGUAGGCGGGCAGGUAAGUCAGUGGUGAAAUCUUUGGGCUUAACCCGAAAACUGCCAUUGAUACUAUCUGUCUUGAAUAUUGUGGAGGUUUGCGGAAUAUGUCAUGUAGCGGUGAAAUGCUUAGAUAUGACAUAGAACACCUAUUGCGAAGGCAGCAAACUACGCAUAUAUUGACGCUGAGGCACGAAAGCGUGGGGAUCAAACAGG